rnacentral:rRNA from 1 species
AUUGAACGCUGGCGGCAUGCCUUACACAUGCAAGUCGAACGGUAACGCGGGGCAACCUGGCGACGAGUGGCGAACGGGUGAGUAAUGCAUCGGAACGUGCCCAGUAGUGGGGGAUAGCCCGGCGAAAGCCGGAUUAAUACCGCAUACGACCUACGGGUGAAAGCGGGGGACUCGCAAGAGCCUCGCGCUAUUGGAGCGGCCGAUGUCAGAUUAGGUAGUUGGUGGGGUAAAAGCCUACCAAGCCGACGAUCUGUAGCUGGUCUGAGAGGACGACCAGCCACACUGGGACUGAGACACGGCCCAGACUCCUACGGGAGGCAGCAGUGGGGAAUUUUGGACAAUGGGCGCAAGCCUGAUCCAGCCAUGCCGCGUGCGGGAAGAAGGCCUUCGGGUUGUAAACCGCUUUUGUCAGGGAAGAAACGCUCUGGGCUAAUACCCCGGGGUAAUGACGGUACCUGAAGAAUAAGCACCGGCUAACUACGUGCCAGCAGCCGCGGUAAUACGUAGGGUGCAAGCGUUAAUCGGAAUUACUGGGCGUAAAGCGUGCGCAGGCGGUUAUGCAAGACAGAUGUGU